CCCUAUGCUGCCAAGAAAAUCUUCUAGCGAGGUUCUAGCCGCCCGUACCCCAAACCGACUCAGGUGGUUAGGUAGAGAAUACCAAGGCGAUCGAGUGAAUCGUGGUUAAGGAAUUCGGCAAAAUACCCCCGUAACUUCGGGAGAAGGGGGGCCCAGAGGGUGAAGAAGACUUGCUCUUCUAGCCUGAACGGCCGCAGAGACCAGGGAGAAGCGACUGUUUACUAAAAACACAGGUCCGUGCCAAGUCGCAAGACGAUGUAUACGGACUGACGCCUGCCCGGUGCUGGAACGUUAAGGGGACCGGUUAGCCUCACGGCGAAGCUGAGAACUUAAGCGCCAGUAAACGGCGGUGGUAACUAUAACCAUCCUAAGGUAGCGAAAUUCCUUGUCGGGUAAGUUCCGACCUGCACGAAUGGCGUAACGACUUCUCCACUGUCUCAACCACGAACUCGGCGAAAUUGCACUACGAGUAAAGAUGCUCGUUACGCGCAGAAGGACGGAAAGACCCCGGGACCUUUACUACAGCUUGGUAUUGGUGUUCGGUACGGCUUGUGUAGGAUAGGUGGGAGACUGUGAAGCUGAUACGCCAGUAUCGGUGGAGUCAACGUUGAAAUACCACUCUGGUCGUUCUGGAUAUCUAACCUCGGUCCGUGAUCCGGAUCAGGGACAGUGCCUGGUGGGUAGUUUAACUGGGGCGGUUGCCUCCUAAAAGGUAACGGAGGCGCCCAAAGGUUCCCUCAGCCUGGUUGGCAAUCAGGUUUUGAGUGUAAGUGCACAAGGGAGCUUGACUGUGAGAGUGACAACUCGAACAGGGACGAAAGUCGGGACUAGUGAUCCGGCGGUGGCUUGUGGAAGCGCCGUCGCUCAACGGAUAAAAGGUACCCCGGGGAUAACAGGCUGAUCUUGCCCAAGAGUCCAUAUCGACGGCAUGGUUUGGCACCUCGAUGUCGGCUCGUCGCAUCCUGGGGCUGGAGUAGGUCCCAAGGGUUGGGCUGUUCGCCCAUUAAAGCGGUACGCGAGCUGGGUUUAGAACGUCGUGAGACAGUUCGGUCCCUAUCCUCUGCGCGCGCAGGAAACUUGAGAAGGGCUGUCCCUAGUACGAGAGGACCGGGAUGGACGAACCUCUGGUGUGUCAGUUGUUCUGCCAAGAGCACCGCUGAUUAGCUACGUUCGGAAGUGAUAACCGCUGAAAGCAUCUAAGCGGGAAGCAUGCUUCAAGAUGAGGUUUCCAUGGGGUUUACCCCGAGAGGCUCCCAGCUAGACUACUGGGUUGAUAGGCCGGAUGUGGAAGUGCGGUAACGCAUGGAGCUGACCGGUACUAAUAAGCCGAUAACUUG
rnacentral:rRNA from 1 species